AGCAGUGUGGCUCGGUGGAAAGAGCACGGGCUUGGGAGUCGGAGGCCCUGGGUUCUAAUCCCGGCUCUUCCA
rnacentral:tRNA from 1 species